CAUGUCCUUCCUCAAACUGUGAGUAAUUGUUUUAGGGGUAUUCCCUACAAUUCAAAAUUUGCUAAAAGCAAACAAAAAGAAAUCACCAAAAAAUCCACAGAAUGUGUACAUGCUUAGUUAGUAUUUAAAUUGCUAUAAUUUGUGUAGAUAUCUAAUAUUUUGAAUGUUUAAAAAAAAUAAAAAAAAAUUGUUUAUUUAAAGACAGCCAGUUGGUUUGAAUUGACUUGGCACAAUUGGGUUAAAUAUGGAAUCUGCCCCCAAAUUGAAUUUAUUUAAUACCAAAGAGAACAUUUUGGGCCUGUAUGUGAAUUAUCCCUAAAUUGUGCAGGUUGAGAGCUCAGUGAAUUAUCUACAAGGAGAAAAUCUUGGCAACAAUUCCGAAUGAGAGAGAAGAUUUUCAGAAUGAAUCGAGAGGAAUUCAGAAUAAAUAUUUAUAGCUUUAGAAGGAUUGCAAUGUUGGCAGUUUUAUUGUAGCACCACCAGGAUUUUCUGUGGAAAAUAGGAUAAACUCUCUGUCUUGCAGAUAAUCUGAUAAAGUCAGGACUGCCUCAAACAGGCCAGGGUCAGCUCAGUAUAAAAAUGAAAAACAAUGUACUGUUCCAGUUUAUUGGCUCAAAAAAAACAUAAAAAUGGGAAUUCUGAUGCACCAAAAGACCACCCUCUCCACUGCAGACAUCAUAAUUGGGGGGUGGCUGUUUUACUUCCUUACUAUCUGUACAAGUGUUUGUACUGCAUUAUUAAUCCCAUUAGUUCACAUAAAUCUAGUGUUUUAUUUUUUUUUAAGAUAAUCAAGAGGCUACAAGUGUGUAGUAUUUAUAUAUACACACAUUUAUAUUUGCAUCACGGCUUCUUUAAUUCAAUAGUUUAUAUAAAUAGUGCCUAAAAAAAUAAUCUGAAAAUGAAUGAGAAUUACACCUGUGAGAAAUUGCUAGCUUUCAGAUUGAUUUCUGUGGAAGCUGAAUCCCAUAAACCUCUGUAGUUCAUCACUCAAAAGGAGUUCCAUUCAUCAUAAAAUAUGAAUGGAGCUACUGCCAAAGCUGAGAGUGGCAACAUUGCUGCGGAGGUGGUCACUGUAGGAACCUAUAGUGCCACGAAAACUGCUUUGUUUUCCUCGCACUAUAGUAUCCCUUUAACGAUGUGCAGGGAAUUCCAUGCACCAUUUGCUGCAUAGGGAGAGUAGACUGUGACAGUUUGGACUGUCCCUUUAAAGUAAGUUCCUGAAUUGGACAUAACUUUCCAGUACUGUGUGAGAUCCUUACAAUGUAAUUGUUUCCCUUUGACACAUAAGAAAUUAAUCAACUCCUUGCCAUUGUGUGUCGUCAUAUAAUAAUACAAUAAAUCGUUUGUUCUGUGUCAGAUUACAGUUUUAACUGAAAACUAAUAACUGCUUUUUGUUGUCUAUGGAUCAAUAAAUCUCAUAAAAGGUUAGUUACUUGGUGAUACAGUUGCAACAAACACACGCAUCGCUUACAUGUGCAGAAUAAGAAGCAAACCACACCUGCUUUUCAAUAUCUGGCCCCAUACUGUGUUAAAACGGUGCCCUCCACUCCCCCCCCUCUAAACUCUUAACCGGGCUUGCGCUAACUGUAAUGCCAACCUAGAGCAAGGAAGAAAUGAUGAUGCCAUUAAAAUGACAUAUUUAACGUGGUAAGCAUCAUCAAAAUGAGGCUACCAUAAAUAUACACUAUAUGGACAUAAGUAAUGGGACACCUGACCAUGACACCAACAGGUAUGUAAUUGGUCCCCUCCUUUGCAGUUAUAACAGCUUCCGCUCCUCUGGGAAGGCUUUCCACAAGAUAUUGGGGUGUUUCUGUGGGAAUUUUUCCUAUUCAUCCAGUAGAGAAUUUGUGAGGUCAUGCACUGAUGUUGAACGAGAAGGUCUGGCUCGUAAUAUCCGUCCCAGUUCAUCCCAAAGGUGUUUGAUAGGGUUGAGGUAAGGGCUCUGUGGUGGCCAGUUAAGUUCAUCCAUACCAAACUCAUCCAACCAGGUAUUUCUGGACCUUGCUUUGUUCACUGGGGCAGAGCCAUGCUGGAAUAGAAAAGGGCCUCUUCCAAACUAUUCCCACAAAGCUAGACGCAUAGCAUUGUCCAAAAUGUCGUAGUAUGCUAAAACAUUAAGAUUUCCCUUCACUGGUAGUAAGAGGCCUAGCUCAACCCCUGACAAACAGCCCCAUACUAUUAUCCCUCUUCCACCAAGCUUUACAGUUGGCAAAAUGCAGUCAAGCAGGUAACAUUAUCGUGGCAUCUGUCAAACCCAGACUCGCCCAUCAGACCACCAAAUAGAGAAGCGUGAUUUGUUACUCCAUGGAACACGUUUCCACUGCUCCACAGUCCAGUGGCUGCGUGCUUCACACCUCUUGAUCCAACGCUUGGCAUUGUACUUGGUGAUGUGAGGCUUGCAUGCAGCUGCUCAGCCAUGGAAACCCAUUCUGUGGAGCGCCCAUGCACAGUUUUCUUGCUGAUAUUAACGUUAGUGGAAGUUUGGAACUUUCAGCUAUGGAAUCAGCAGACCGUUGGUGACUUUUACGCACAAUGCGCCUAAGCACUCGGUGAUCCCGUCCUAUCACUUUUCAUGGUUUCCCAUUUGUGGCUGAGUUGCUGUUGUAACUAAACACUUUCACUUUCCAAUAAUACCACUUACAGUUGACAAUGGAAUAUCGAGCAAACUAGAUAUAUUUACAAACUGACUUAUUGCAAUGGUUGUAUCCUAUCACAGUGCUACGCUUGAAUUCACUGAGCUCUUUAAAUGACCCAUUUUCCACAAAAGUUUGUAAAUGCAGACUGCAACGCUUGGUGCUUCAUUUUAUACACCUCUGGCAACUGGUUUGAUUAUAAGACCUGAAUUCAAUAUUUAAGAGAUGUGUCCCAAUAAGUUUGUCCAUAUAGUAUAUGUGUAUAAAACAGAGAUGACAAACGGCACUUGUCUCCUAACAUCCUCAAAGAAAAAUAAAAGAAAUCCAGAUCUUGUUGAAGAUGGCCUUACAUCAGCUGUGUCAAGGUGUGUGGCAGAGGAUUCGUAAACCUCUUAGUGUAAAGCCAACCAUGAUAAAUAGUGUUGGAUUAUUAGGAACACACAGGAAUUCUUGGAUUGUCUAGUUAUGGACCAAAUCCAGCCUAUGGGUUUCCAGUUUUUGUGGGUGGUGAAAUAAACAUGUGACGUCCUGAUAAAGUAAACCUAAACGCACUGCUGUCACGGUCUUUAAAUCGCUUUCAAUAAUUAAUAUUGUCUCCACGUUCAUGAAUCUGUGCAUUACUAACAGAAUCCCACUGUAUUGGAUGUUUUAUAAAGUUUCUUAUUUAUGUGUGUAUAUAUUGUACUAAGACUUGGUUGCAAGCAAAAAGCUGUACAGAAGAUUGAGGAAAAUAGUUUUUUGCUUAUAGAUAAACAUCAUUUUUUUAGUGUGCCAAUUUGGAAGUUUUUUAAGGAAAUUAUGGAACAGAGAUUGUCCAUUUGUUUAUGUCAUUUCACUGUUGUGGAAAAGAAAAUCCAUUAAAUUUCUCUAAUUCACAGCAGCCUUAGUGCCGAUGGUUGACUGAGCUUGUUGGGAGCAGUAUCUGCAGUAGCUAUAGUGGCAAAAUAAUUCCACAGCAGGUGGAGUGGGUACAUACUCUGGCUGGCUGAAACUGGGUGUUGUGUCCCGCAACGGCUGUAAUCCAUGGGAUCUAAGGGCGUUGUGUGCCUGUGUCAGAAUCUGGCUGAAUGUUCUGAGAGUUAUCAUCACACAGCAGUUAGAAUUUCAAUGGUUGGCUUUAUAGAACGGCCUUAAUUCAGUUGACUAGAAAGUUCAGUUGGAUGGAGUUUAGUCUGAAUAUAUUGCUGCCUGUAUUGUUCUGAGACUGAAUGUUUAAAGAGUGAUGGCUCUUUCUGUGGGGCGACAUGUAAGGUUGGAGCACAAUGGAUGAAAAGCUUGUUUCUAAGGAGACCAAAAAACGGCUUAAGAGAACUGGUGCUCAUUAAAGAUUCUUCUUGAAGUUCGAGAGCAGCUGGGGUUGCUGUGAACAGCCAGACCCCGGUCCCUCUCUGCCCUUCAGCUGACACCUGUCGUUUCAUAUCAUUUCUGAGACAAAUCUUGAGCUUUCUGAACUUUCUGUACUGUAGAUUAUUGCUAUUAAUUUGUAAGAUUUCAAAUUGUGGGUUGUGCCCUUCCAAUUACACUCACAGGGACGGUGGCAGUAAAUGACCAACUGCUGUGUGAGACUAACAAAGCUAUAAGCUAAGUUCUAUAUUGAAUGCUAUUAUCUUCAUUGUAUCUUUUAAUGUGGACAAGACAUGUGUGGAUGACGGGGCUAGCUUUUCGAGGAAGUUACUCAUAAUACAGUAAUAUUGUUCAUCGUCCAGAGUUUCUCAUAGACCGCACCCCUCUCCAAUAUGAAUAUAUUCUUUCCACUUCUUCUGGGAUAGAAUCCAGUGAAAUCCUCAUUUCAUUGGUAACAAAAACCCAACACUGCUGGCGCCUGGUUAAAUGAAAACCUGUGCUCAUUUUUUAUUAAAAAGACAGACCAGUCCUUGCACUCAGAUUAACCCUGCAAAACUUUGCAAAACUUUUGCUCAACAUUCAGUGCCGGGUGCUGAAAUAGCCACAGCCAAAAUAUACAAAAAUUAUAUUAAACAUGGGCUAGCACUCACGGUCUUGUAGUAAAAAGUAGAAAUCUUUAUUUGAGUUAUUCCAUAAAAUCGACAUUUCAGCCCACGUCCGGGGCUUUCUUCAGGAUCAUUUUUUAUUAUAUAUGUAAAUUUAUUAUAUGUAUUCAUUUUUAACAGAUACAAAUAUAUGUAAAUACCUUUUUAGAGUGCAUUUCCUGACGUUCUCUUGCUUUAUGGUGGCACGGCCUGAGCGCAAAAUAAAAUUUAGUGAACUCUCCUCAAAACCCCACACCUUGUCCAUCACAAAUUCCAUCCCGUAACAACUGCAAUAUAGCCCUCUCAACUCUUACAGAUACAUACAUAAAGACACACACUCACAUAUACAUACAUAAAGACACACACUCACACUUACAUACAUAAAGACACACACUCACAGCUGGCUACUUACAGGCAUACAUAAAGACAUAGAUACACAGGUGCUGCUAGGCACAUACAGGCAUACAUACGCAUAUAAAGACACAGUCAAACACAGAAAGGCAUACAUUGACACAGACACUCGCAGACAAGCAUAUACAGACAUGCAUAGACACAAAUACAUGCAGACAUAAUGCACACACAGACAGGAUUAUGUAGAAAACCACAGACAAAGGUACGCAUAGACAGGUUGCUCUUCCUUGAGGUCUCCUUGUUCAGUCUCGUCCGGGAGCAGCCCAGUGAUAGAGAUGGAGGACAUGGUUAGAGUAUCACAUUUUCACUGCGCUGCGAAAUAUGUUGGUGCUAUAUACAUACUAAUAAUAAUCUCUAUCUGAUGUGCUAGUGUGACGCUUCUGUAACUGGCGCGAUUUAACGUAGAGACCAGGAGGGAGAGCAGCAUGGAGAUAAACUAAUCACAUGUAUUUGUGGCACUGCAUCUUCCCCACCACACCUGAGAUCUGGGGCUACGGAGACCUCAUUCAUAGCUCUUACCCCCCACAGCAACAUGGCCGGUGGCUGCCAUUUUAAGUCCUUCUUGAUGAGAAGCAUUGUUUAUCUGACAUGCACCUACUGAAAAUAGUGUAUGAUCAUGACAUCAUGCGCAGGCGGUGGGAAUCUCAAAAAUUUGAUAUACUAAAGAUGGCCGCCCCACACAGAGCAGGGGUAAGCCAGGAGAUACAAUGUAAUGGGAUAUACUAAAGAUGGCCGCCCCACACAGAGCAGGGGUAAGCCAGGAGAUGCAAUGUAAUGGGAUAUACUAAAGAUGGCCCACACACAGAGCAGGGGUAAGCCAGGAGAUACACUGUAAUGGGAUAUACUAAAGAUGGCCCCCAUACAGAGCAGGGGUAAGCCAGGAGAUACAAUGUAAUGGGAUAUACUAAAGAUGGCCGCCCCACACGGAGCAGGGGUAAGCCAGGAGAUACACUGUAAUGGGAUAUACUAAAGAUGGCCGCCCCACACAGAGCAGGUGUAAGCCAGGAGAUACACUGUAAUGUGAUAUACUAAAGAUGGCUGCCCCACACAGAGCAGGGGUAAGCCAGGAGAUACAAUGUAAUGGGAUAUACUAAAGAUGGCCCCCACACAGAGCAGGGGUAAGCCAGGAGAUACACUGUAAUGAGAUAUACUAAAGAUGGCCCCCAUACAGAGCAGGGGUAAGCCAGGAGAUACAAUGUAAUGGGAUAUACUAAAGAUGGCCGCCCCACACAGAGCAGGUGUAAGCCAGGAGAUACAAUGUAAUGUGAUAUACUAAAGAUGGCCGCCCAACAGAGCAGGGGGUAAGCCAGGAGAUACAAUGUAAUGGUAUCUACUAAAGAUGGCUGCCCCACACAGAGCCGGGGUAAGCCAGGAGAUACACUGUAAUGAGAUAUACUAAAGAUGGCUGCCCCAUACAGAGCAGGGGUAAGCCAGGAGAUACAAUGUAAUGGGAUAUACUAAAGAUGGCCGCCCCACACAGAGCAGGUGUAAGCCAGGAGAUACAAUGUAAUGUGAUAUACUAAAGAUGGCCGCCCAACAGAGCAGGGGGUAAGCCAGGAGAUACAAUGUAAUGAGAUAUACUAAAGAUGGCAGCCACACAGAGCAGGAGUAAGCCAGGAGAUACAAUAUAAUGAGAUAUACUAAAGAUGGCUGCCCCACACAGAGCAGGGGUAAGCCAGGAAAUACAAUGUAAUGGGAUAUACUAAAGAUGGCCACCCCACACAGAGCAGGGGUAAGCCAGGAGAUACACUGUAAUGAGAUAUACUAAAGAUGGCAGCCACACAGAGCAGGAGUAAGCCAGGAGAUACAAUAUAAUGAGAUAUACUAAAGAUGGCUGCCCCACACAGAGCAGGGGUAAGCCAGGAGAUACACUGUAAUGGGAUAUACUAAAGAUGGCCACCACACAGAGCAGGGGUAAGCCAGGAGAUACAAUGUAAUGACAUAUACUAAAGAUGGCCCCCACACAGAGCAGGGGUAAGCCAGGAGAUACAAUGUAAUGGGAUAUACUAAAGAUGGCCCCCACACAGAGCAGGGGUAAGCCAGGAGAUACACUGUAAUGAGAUAUACUAAAGAUGGCCCCCAUACAGAGCAGGGGUAAGCCAGGAGAUACAAUGUAAUGGGAUAUACUAAAGAUGGCCGCCCCACACAGAGCAGGUGUAAGCCAGGAGAUACAAUGUAAUGUGAUAUACUAAAGAUGGCCGCCCAACAGAGCAGGGGGUAAGCCAGGAGAUACAAUGUAAUGAGAUAUACUAAAGAUGGCAGCCACACAGAGCAGGAGUAAGCCAGGAGAUACAAUAUAAUGAGAUAUACUAAAGAUGGCUGCCCCACACAGAGCAGGGGUAAGCCAGGAAAUACAAUGUAAUGGGAUAUACUAAAGAUGGCCACCCCACACAGAGCAGGGGUAAGCCAGGAGAUACACUGUAAUGAGAUAUACUAAAGAUGGCAGCCACACAGAGCAGGAGUAAGCCAGGAGAUACAAUAUAAUGAGAUAUACUAAAGAUGGCUGCCCCACACAGAGCAGGGGUAAGCCAGGAGAUACACUGUAAUGGGAUAUACUAAAGAUGGCCACCACACAGAGCAGGGGUAAGCCAGGAGAUACAAUGUAAUGACAUAUACUAAAGAUGGCCCCCACACAGAGCAGGGGUAAGCCAGGAGAUACAAUGUAAUGGGAUAUACUAAAGAUGGCCCCCACACAGAGCAGGGGUAAGCCAGGAGAUACAAUGUAAUGGGAUAUACUAAAGAUGGCCACCACACAGAGCAGGGGUAAGCCAGGAGAUACACUGUAAUGGGAUAUACUAAAGAUGGCUGCCCCAUACAGAGCAGGGGUAAGCCAGGAGAUACACUGUAAUGGGAUAUACUAAAGAUGGCCGCCACGCACAGAGCAGGGGUAAGCCAGGAGAUACACUGUAAUGGGAUAUAUUAAAGAUGGCCACCACACAGAGCAGGGGUAAGCCAGGAGAUACACUGUAAUGGGAUAUACUAAAGAUGGCUACCACACAGAGCAGGGGUAAGCCAGGAAAUACAAUGCAAUGGGAUAUACUAAAGAUGGCCGCCCCACACAGAGCAGGGGUAAGCCAUGAGAUACAGUGUAAUGGGAUAUACUAAAGAUGGCUGCCCCACACAGAGCAGAGGUAAGCCAGGAGAUACAAUGUAAUUGGAUAUACUAAAGAUGGCCCCCAUACAGAGCAGGGGUAAGCCAGGAGAUACACUGUAAUGGGAUAUACUAAAGAUGGCCGCCACGCACAGAGCAGGGGUAAAGCCAGGAGAUACACUGUAAUGGGAUAUACUAAAGAUGGCCCCCAUACAGAGCAGGGGUAAGCCAGGAGAUACACUGUAAUGGGAUAUACUAAAGAUGGCCGCCACGCACAGAGCAGGGGUAAGCCAGGAGAUACACUGUAAUGUGAUAUACUAAAGAUGGCCCCCACACAGAGCAGGGGUAAGCCAGGAAAUACAAUGCAAUGGGAUAUACUAAAGAUGGCCGCCCCACACAGAGCAGGGGUAAGCCAGGAGAUACAAUGUAAUGGGAUAUACUUAAGAUGGCUGCCCCACACAGAGCAGGGGUAAGCCAGGAGAUACAAUGUAAUGGGAUAUACUAAAGAUGGCCACCACACAGAGCAGGGGUAAGCCAGGAGAUACAAUGUAAUGGGAUAUACUGAAGAUAGCCGCCACACACAGAGCAGGGGUAAGCCAGGAGAUACACUGUAAUGGGAUAUACUAAAGAUGGCCACCACACAGAGCAGGGGUAAGCCAGGAGAUACACUGUAAUGGGACAUACUAAAGAUGGCCACCACACAGAGCAGGGGUAAGUCAGGAGAUACAAUGUAAUGGGAUAUACUAAAGAUGGCCCCCACACAGAGCAGGGGUAAGCCAGGAGAUACACUGUAAUGGGAUAUACUAAAGAUGGCUGCCCCACACAGAUCAGGGGUAAGCCAGGAGAUACACUGUAAUGGGAUAUACUAAAGAUGGCCGCCACACAGAGCAGGGGUAAGCCAGGAGAUACAAUGUAAUGGGAUAUACUAAAGAUGGCCGCCCCACACAGAUCAGGGGUAAGCCAGGAGAUACACUGUAAUGGGAUAUACUAAAGAUGGCCCCCAUACAGAGCAGGGGUAAGCCAGGAGAUACACUGUAAUGAGAUAUACUAAAGAUGGCUGCCCCACACAGAGCAGGGGUAAGCCAGGAGAUACACUGUAAUGUGAUAUACUAAAGAUGGCCCCCACACAGAGCAGAGGUAAGCCAGGAGAUACACUGUAAUGGGAUAUACUAAAGAUGGCCCCCAUACAGAGCAGAGGUAAGCCAGGAGAUACACUGUAAUGGGAUAUACUAAAGAUGGCCGGCACACACAGAGCAGGGGUAAGUCGGGAGAUACACUGUAAUAAGAUAUAAAGGGUAUGUAUAUAUUACAAAAUAAUACGCAACAAGACUAUUAGAGUUAUUCAUUAAACUGAGAAUUUCAGGUCAAAAUAAGCCAAAAUAGAAAAAUUCACUAAGUCCGCUAUGCUUCCAGCUGGGCAAUUUUUGGCCUAAAAUUUUAAAUUCUCUUUGAAUUCACUUAAAAUGUUCACUUCAGUAAAUAACCCCAUAUAUUAAAUGUAAUCUUCUAUUUUCAGUAAUAUUUAAAAAAAAGUGUCAUUAGAAUUUGUGACCUAAACUGUUUGAAACAAGGAAGUAACUUUUCUGCAAAAUUAUAGCCACAGUGUGCGUCUAUUGGUCUUCAAUCACGAUCUAUAGUGCAAGUCAUGUCGACCGAGUAGACAAUAUAAGAUGGGCGUUUACUCCACAAUGUUUAACUACUAGGCAGCUAUGAGGUAAAUGUAAGGAAUGGAAUGUCUGUUUAAGGGUCUGAUCUUACAGAUUGCAUAUAUAAACCAAACAAGAUGUUUGUAAUCUGUAAUUCUGAGGUUCUCCCCUUACUAUAAUGCUCAUGUGUGAUUUGUUGCAAUCUCAGUAAUGGCGUCACUGCUACACUCGUAAUUCGGAGAAAUUUCCUUUAUUUCUAUGAUUUACCAUUAGGCCUUAUGGUACCCUAUGUGUGUUACUCCAAUUUAAACCCCUCUCCCUCCUUACCUUCUGUACCCCUUUCCCCAAUAUUAUGUCGUUUUUUUUUUUUUUUAUGAUGACAAUAAAUAUUAACACAUGUUCCAAGUGACAAAAAAUAGACAAUCUGAAUGAACUAUGGUUUUAUUUCAGGUGCAGAGGGGUUUGCAGACACACAUUAUUCUGCCUUCUGAUGGUCGAUUCGUGAGUGGUGCUGCCCAGCAAUAUUUAGAUUUCAUACGCCCCUCACAUGAAAUAAGACGAUGAACCAAGGUGUGUUUCUGUGUGUGUUGGGGAGGAUGACGUUGGUUCCAAAAAUACCUCUGUGUAUUGACAAUAUGCAAAUGUGAAAUACGUCGUUUUGUUUUUUACUGUUUUCGAAAAGUGGCUUCUAGAAAAUAUGGCCGAUCUAGCAGUCCUGCGUGAUCAUUGUACAGCGCUGCGGAAUUUGUUGGCACUUUAUAAAUUAUAAUAACUUAUCAUGUGACUUUGCCUUUGCAACAUUAGUUCAGAUGAAAAUUUUAUUUAAUAGUUUGAUUUUAAUCCAAUGGCAAUAAUAAGAGUAUGUACAUUUUGUAAGACGCUGGAUAUAAAGGCUUGAUAAAAUUACGUGAGAACAGACGGGCCCCAGUAGUGUGUUGUCUGCAAGGCAUGUAGCCAUUGUCUCUGAGUGUUUGAAGAAGUGGCGGGCAGCAUUAAACAUGUAGCAACUCUGCCCCCUGGUGUACAGACCUAUAACGCAGUGCCUUGGAGGCACACAAAAUUGCAAAAAAUUAUUAUUUUUUACACCCUCGUUUUAUUGGCAUUUGAUCUUUCAAUCACUGACGGCAUAUUCUGUGAUUAGGGCAUGUUAAUCCCAGCUGGUUACGCAGCUUCUCUGUUGGGAAACCAGGGACAAAAGUAUGUAUUUCUAUUAAAAUAUAAAUUAAGCGAAUCUCAGUUCUCUGUGACAUAGAAGGUGCAGUGUCUGUUUAAGGGAGCGUCAGGAGCUGGUGGGAAUAAAGAUAAUAUAACAAAAUGUUGUAAUUCUGAGGAAUGUUACCCAGAAUCCCACAUUCUAUAGUUCAGCUACUGUCUGAAGCCGUGUAGUGAUUCUGUCAGUAAUGCUUAUUGUGUAAUAUGUAACAUUACCCCAAGAUAACGCAGUACAUGUGAUCCCACUGAAAUAGAUGAAAAUAAAGACAGCAGAAAUAUUUAUUUUUUAAAGGGGUAUAAAUGUAACAGUUGUUUAAUGUAGCAAUUAAAAAUGUCAUAAUUAAAUAUAGUUAUGAUGAUCUCUCAUUUUCAGCAAAUCACAAUGAUCUGCCUCUUCUGCAUUAAAUAACAUGUUUACAGAAUUGUUUUUACAAAUUUAAAGAGCUCACAUAACAUAUCCGAAGGCUUUCAAGUUAUUUACUAACAUGAGAAUUUCAAAUUUAACGUCCUUAAGUUACAAUAAGUGCAGGCUGUCACCCUCCAUUUGUGUCAAACUGCUUAAAUGGUGCGACACAUAACUGGGAGAAGAAGCCACGCGCAUGCUUGUCUGUAGUGGUUAUGGUACAUAGAGUGCCACUUUAACGCAGUGCCUGUAUAUUGAUAUCAAGUUCAACAAAAUUAGUAACUUCAUUUCACAAAAAGGUGCGCUGUACGUUUAUCCACCGUACCAAUCCAUUUAAGCCAUUCACUGCCAGAGGGGAUUUCAGUGCUCCCUGGUUCACUGCAGACCUUACCUUCGAGCAGUGAAAGUUUAACAUUUUUUUUAGACUACCAUUAAAAUAAAAAAUAAAAAAUAAAGUUUAGAAAACAAUGUAACUUUCUGUUCAGAUUUUGGUAUUCUUGAACAGCCAGAGGUAGGUCUUUUGGAAGACUGCUCUUCUCGUUCUGGUGAUGCGCAGGCAUGACCUGAAUUCUAAAAGCACUGCGAAUUCCUGGUGCGUCUGUUUUAUUAUGCAUGGUAGCACUCUCAAGGAACCGAAUGACUAAGCAAAACAAAGAGGUCUGUUCACUAAACAGAACUGUUGUGAGUUGACAGCCGACUUGUAAAAAAAUAUAGGCUAACAGAGCCAUUUUAGACAAAAUCUUAAACCCAGCCCGUUCUGAGAUUUUAUUAUUUUCUAUCUUGGCUCUGUAAGUGUACAUUGUCUGAGUCCCUUUCCAACUUGCCACAACUUGCUAUAUAAUCAAUAGACCCCAAAAUGUAUUCUAUGAAUCAUCUUGAAGGGACACUGCAGGAUGGACCCAAUUUUUUUACCGUGUUUCCCCGAAAAUAAGAGCUAAGAGGUGGUCUUAUAAUAAUCCCAUUAGGGCUUAUUUUCGAGGGAGGUCUUAUUUCGGGGGAAAACGUGUGCUAGAAAGUAGGAAUUCCCCUGAACAUAGACCCAAUUCAUUAGGGCAUGGAAUCCUGCAAAGCUAUGUUAGGGGAAACUUCCCCGAACAUAGAUUAGUUCACUUGCAAAUGGAAUCUUGCGUAUAUAUUUUGUGGGAAAUUCCCCGAACAUAGAUUAUCGAAUGACUAGGACUUAUUUUCAGGGUGGGGCUUAUAUUAGGAGCAAUUAAGCCCCCUUAAUUUCACGGAAACACAGUAGAUCUUUGACAGUAAUCUGUGACUAUCAGUAAAUGGGGGUUUAAAAAGAAUGCGUUAGUCAACAGGCCUUUAUUGCAGAAGUAUUUGGAUGGGUAAGGAGAAAGAUAAGAGAUAUCUCUUAGUGAGGGGUUGGACCUAGAACUUGAUAUUUGCUAAAGCUAUUAUUAUUCUGACAUUUCAAAAAUACCAACAACUUCCACAAAGCUGUUCAAUCGGGAUAGACACUACAGUAUAGGCAAACGAAUACAGGAAACCCUGCUGUGUGCUGAAACCUAGCAUUUACAGCCCCAAAUACUAAGCUAGAUUAAAACAGACUGCACCCAAUAAGAAACUACAUAAUGUUAUACAGAUAUAUACACACACAAUAUAUUGAGAUAUAGCAAUAAUAGAGAGUCCCAGCAGACAGAUGGGGAUCAUACCACCCAAGCUGCCAUCAUUGAGCAAAAGGUGCUCUUGAAAUUGUAAGUAGAUUUUAUGUAUUUUUAUUUUUUUUAAAGUACUUUUAUUUGAAACAGUGAGCACUAUAUCUCGUUUUCUUCCUUUCAUAUGCUGUUUACAUUGUGAACAUCUAAAGAGGACAGCUCCAGGUUUAUCCGUGAGCGGGGAUUGCCCUAUCUGAUGGCUAAAUAGAAGCUCUCCCCUUGUGAGUGUAUUUUAUCUUAAUUUUACCUAAAACAUUGUAUAUACUGGAUUACACUAUUGGUGGUUUCUUUUGUGUUUUAUUUCAUAUGAGACACCAAAAACAGAAUUCCUCAUCUGACUGACCUCCAAAAGGUUAUUAUCUCCAAAAAAUACUUUUUUUUUCUGCUGGGGCUGUUUAUUAUUGUUAUAUCUCAAUAUAUUUAUAUAUAAUAUUGUGUGUACAUAUAUAUCUGUAUGAGAUUAUGUAGUAUUUCUUAUUUGGCGCAGUCUGUAUUUUGUCCUUGUUCCUCUUGGGUUAUUGGGGUAUCCAAGUAACAGAUCUUAUUCUGCUGCCUUUGGAGUUAGCGCCGUAUCUCCCCUUCUUUUUAUUCUUGUUGUACUAAGCGAGAUUGCUAGUGAGCUUACAGUCUAAAGGAUAUAAGCAGAUAUGUGAAAGAAAAUAUCAUAAAAAACCAAAUAAAUACAUUACUUGUACACUAUUCCAAUCGCUAUGCACAUUUAAACAAUUGGAGGUAUUUGGCCACCUGCAACGUCAGGGCAAAUCCUCUUUCCGCUAAAAGAACGAGACAUAGAGGGGUAUUUUUGUAAACCACAGAAAAAGGAACACAUGGGGCGGGCGGCUUUACUGAAAUGCUAAUGAAUGGGCUGAAAUGGCUUGUAUUUCUUGCCUAGUGCAGUGUCCGAGGCAUGUGAAAUACCCCUCUCUGUCUCAUUAGAGACUAUACCUUAUGGCUGAAGGAAGCAAGGUGAAUUGUUAGUGUAGGAAUCACAUAAGAGGUUUGCCUUGAUGUGGCAGGUGAGCUUACACUUUAAUUGCCAUUGGAGUGAUGCUAAAAAAAACUGCAGUUAUAUAAAUGUUCAUAGGGAGAAACUUCACACACAGCGCCCCUCACACAUGCACAAACCGUACCCUCACACACUGCACCACUCACACACAGCGCCCCUCACACACAAACAACCGCACCCUCACACACUGCACCACUUACACACACAGCGCCCCUCACACACACACACAAACCGCACCUUCACACACUGCACCACUCACACACACACCACCCCUCACAUACACACAAAGCACACUCACACACACAGCGCCCCUCACACGCAAACAAACCGCACCCUCACACACUGCACCACUUACACACACAGCGCCCCUCACACACACACAAACCGCACCCUCACACACUGCACCACUCACACACACAGCGCCCUUACACACACACAACACCCCUCACAUACACACACAGCACACUCACACACUGCACCCCUAACACACACACACACACACAGCACCCUCACAUACAGCACCCUCUCUAACACACACACACACACAGCAUUCCUCACACACUGCACCCCUCACAUACACACACACACAGUACACCUCACACACUGUGCCCCUCACAUACACACACCGCACCCCUUACACACACACACAGCACCCUCAUACACUGCACCCCUCACAUACACUAUAACACAGCACCCUCUCUCACACACACACAGCACCCUUACACACAGCCCGGCCCUGGUAGCUGCCUAAGGAAGCUUUUGUCACUCAAUGUUCAGAGCAAAAAGCAGGGUAUAAAUAUCCCCUUUGGCAGCACUAGCUGGGGUUUAAUUUCUGGGAAUAACCCCAAUGUCAUAUCAGUUCAGCACCCUGUACUAGCCCCCACCUGUCUUGUAUUCCUUCCCCCGAAUUAGAAGGUACGACCCUGCUCUAUGUUCUUAGUCAGCACAAUCACCUGAGGCCCACUUCUACUACCCCAGAUGGGUCAAAGUAUCACCACAAUCAAAAUGUAAAUAUUUAAAAUCCUCUCAUGUAUAUUUUUAUUUUUCUCCACUAAGAGAAUGGCAAUUUUUUUGAAUAUCAAAGGUGGUUGCCGUGGGGUUUUGAAACUCACAAUGUUGUUAUGGAUAUGGCAGCUAUAUCAACAAUUUAUGUCACUCUAACUGUUGUUGCAUUAGACUGGGUACAUGUUUAUUCUGGGGUUUGGUGGAUCAGUGCAAUGUUGGACCCUUGGAUCCAGGCUGCAAUGUGUCUUCAGCCCGUCCUGAUACUAAUUAAAAUAGAGACUUAAUACAUGUUUAAUGUGUAGUUUUGGUUUAUUGGAUUUACGGUUUUAUGACCUCGAAUCUUUAACCAUUCCUUCUCUCGUUAUCCUGACCUCGACCUGACUGUCUAUUCUGUGUAUUUCAGUUAUCCUAGACCUCAGUCUGUCUCUCAUUCACUCUCUGUCUGCUUGCAGACAUUUUAUUUAUCUGUCUCAGGUACUAGCCAGGACACUCUAAGGACCGGUACGUGUUCCUUUACUGUUACCUUUAGGAUUCCAUGUUAGGGUAUCUCCAUUCCUGACAGCAGAGCCUUAUGGGAAAUAUAGUUGAAACAUAUAGUUGAGGUUCAUUGUAUUUAGAUGUCUAGUUAUCAAGCCUGUGACCCUGCACUAGCUGUAACUACAUUUCUCUAGAGGCUCAGUAUGCCUGGAAGCUGGCCGAGCCUCCUGGUAAAUGUAGUUCACAGACGUAUGUGCAGUUUCUGGGUUAGCCGUCACGCCAUCAUUUGUCUUGCGUGAAGUCUGGUUAUUAAGCCCAUGGCAGUGCUCUGCUGGCUGCGGACUAUUUAAUCAGUAUUCUCUAAUAAACAUCUUGUAAAUAGUAAAAGUCAAUGCAGGGUCCUCCUUCCAGAUCACAUUUUAUUACUGUAAAUAGUACGCAGAGUGGCCUCGGGUGACGUUUGGCAGGGAAUUAAUUUCUUUAUGGCUCACCGACUGUGAGCUGAACACUGUAAUUACAGGCCAUGCAGAGCAAUGUCUUCGAAAUGAUGAAGGGCUGUUUGUGUAAUGACCACACUAAGAAUUUCAAAUAGAUGAAAGCUAGCCUAAUCAUCCACUUCAUCGACUCCGGCAAAAUCACACAAUCUGGUGAAGGACAUUUAUAUAGGUCAACAAGAUCACAAAUGCAUAUAUUUACAUAUUACGUGAUUUAUAACUCAUUGCACGCUUUAUAGUACAUUUCUACACAUGGUAUCUAUGGAAAAUGUGUACAAAUGAAAUUUUCUGUAAAAUGUAAUCGCUUUUUAAUCUUUUUAUUGUGAGUUUUCAUAAAUAGAAGGUCACAUCAGGUGACAAAGGACAGCAGAUUACAGCGUCAUAAGAGGCCCAUUUUUGUAUCAUGUACUCUAUGGUUUAACAAUAAUUUGAUCAUUUUCAGUUUAGGGAUACAGCUGUCAUGCUGUUAAAUAUAUUCCACCUAUUGUGGAAAGGAGACAUCCAUUUCGGGGUACCCAGGUAACUGUCAAACUAUUUGAAAACAGUUUGACUAUUUACUGUUGGAUGGUGUCAGGGUCACUUGGCUCGUUAUUUUAAAUUCUCUUUGAAGUACCUACAAUUCACAUUGAAUGACCAUGUAAGUAGUGAAAGGGAAUCUCUCGCUUGUUUUUUUAUUUAGAAUUCAAUUUUUUUCAGUACAUCUCAUAACUGCCAUUUUCAUAUCUCUUUGUUUAGAAGCACUGCUUAUAUAACCAAAAACCAUGCAGGUUAGAGAAAGUGAUAGAAACAUAGAAUGUGAUGGCAGAUAAGAACCAUUUGGCCAUCUAGUCUGCCUAAUUUUCUAAAUAUUUUCAUUACUCCCUGGCCUUAUCUUAUAGUUAGGAUAGCCUUAUGCCUAUCCCACGCAUGCUUAAACUCCUUUACUGUGUUAACCUCAGCUGGAAGGCUAUUCCAUGCAUUCACUACCCUCUCAGUAAAGUAACACUUUCUAAAAUUAUUUUUAAAACCUUUGCCCCUCUAAUUUAAGACUAUGUCCUCUUGUUGUGGUAGUUUUUCUUCUAUUAAAUAUAGUCUGCUCCUUCAUUGUGUUGAUUCCCAUUAUGAUAGAAACCAUGUUCACACCAUUUGCAUGUUCACAAAUCCUGAAGUCAUCAGUAAGAACAUGGCAUCUCCAAAAAUUCUUAGACACUUUUAGACCUUUAAAUUGUGAAUGUGAUAGCUGAUAAGUGGUGGCUAUGACCAAAGAGGGUAAAAAUGGCCGCCUGCACAGAGCCAGGAAAUGCACUAAAAUGGGUAUUAACUGCAUGCAUUCCUAUAUUACAUGCACUCUUUUAUAUUAAAGGACCACUAUAGUGCCAGGAAAACAUACUCGUUUUCCUGGUACUAUAGUGCCCUGAGGGUGCCCCCACCCUCAGGGACCCCCUCCCGCCCGGCUCUGGAAAGGGGAAAGGGGUUUAAACUUACCUUUUUCCAGCGUUGGGCGGGGAGCUCUCCUCCUCAGUUCCUCCUCCUGGGCUGAAUGCGCACGCGCAGCAAGAGCUGCGCGCGCAUUCAGCCGGUCACAUAGGAAAGCAUUCAUAAUGCUUUCCUAUGGACGCUGGCGUGCUCUCACUGUGAAAAUCACAGUGAGAAGCACGCAAGCGCCUCUAGUGGCUGUCAAUGAGACAGCCACUAGAGGAAAUAGGGGAAGGCUUAACCCAUUCAUAAACAUAGCAGUUUCUCUGAAACUGCUAUGUUUAUGAAAAAAUGGGUUAAACCUAGCUGGACCUGGCACCCAGACCACUUCAUUAAGCUGAAGUGGUCUGGGUGCCUAGAGUGGUCCUUUAAGCAAUAAUAAAACAUGUUGGCUCUUUUCCUUUAACUACUGUGCAAAAUGCUCUUUUGGGUUUGACUAAACAGCUUUCAGUACCAACUUGCCAAUUGUAUCCUCAUGAUGCAAAUCAGCUUUCAGUUCAUGAGAAUUUGCUGUUUAUUAAAUACACCUUAUUUAAUUAUUCCCGAUUCUAGCCAUUGUUGAUGCUAAAGAAGUGGCCUUUGAUCCGGCAUUUCCAACUGUUGAAGAUUUCCCUGUGCAAAGGCCUACAAGCUAGUUCUCAUAGCUUUUCACACUGGAAAAAUAUAUGUUGGAAUUCGGUUGAGUUUCUGAACAAAAAGCCAGCUGUGUGUGUGAAUGGCAGCGGGAAUUCUGAAACUCCUUUAAUACAGAAUUGAUAAACUUCUCACGUAAUUCAUGCAUAACUGACCCCCCACAACACAAUGACAAAAAAAAACCUCUUUGUGAUCAGGAAGCAUAGAAUUCAGGCAUCAAAUAUUUUGUGGCUGAUUGGCACACCUUACAGUGAAAAUAAAGAAAUAUUCUGCGUUGUUUGCGUGUCAUAAUGACAACAUUACAAAAAGGAAUCAUAAAUAAAAUAACUAACAUUAAUUAUUAGAAUGAAUUAUAAAUAAGUUACUGAUCAGACGGUGUACUCUGGGUAAUUGCAGUAGAGACAGAGUUGGUGGCUAUUUUUUCUGGUUAGUGACUUGCCAGGUAAUAGUCCACCUUUUUAUAAAACGUGUCACAUGUAACCCUGGCAAAGGACCUAGGGACUCGUGGCACCAUAACCACUGCAAUGUCGUGUUGUGGUUAUAGUGCUUAAAGUGUCCUUUUUUCUAUUUGUAAUCUCCAAUUUCCUCUUAAAAAAGCUGCACGUUUCCACCGUGACUGAAGCCAGGUAAUUGUAAUGCGUGUCUCUUGUGUAUCUGUUAACGUAAUGCUACAGAAAAUAUUUUCGGUUCGGUACUGGAAGGGUUAAUGCAUUUAUUAUUCCCUCUCUUCGAUCUGCACUGAAACCCUUGUGCUUUCUCACCACCCACACUGGUGGCGUAAUUAAAGUGUUCUAUGCUUAGAUGAGUGAGUCAUUACUGGGUGUCAAUAAGUACUAACGUUUCUAAGCAAUAAGAUUCUCUAAAACAUACUGAAAAUCGUGGCUGAACGCAGCAUCAGGUGUUAGUGACAAGAAAAUCGCAGAAUUGCAUUUCUAUCAUCACAGAGUCCUUUAUUACUCUAUCAUCUGCUUGUUAUUCUUGUAUCUCUGUUCCAAAUAUAUCAUAUAUCCCAAGUGUUCCAAGUUAGGAAUUGCAGUCCUGAUUUUUUGCCGGUUUUAUCUAAAAUUUCCUAAAGCUUUGCCUCAUCCCUUCACACAAGACUGUAAUUAUAUUAGUCAUUAGAAAUGGUAAGGAAUGGCAAAGAAAAUCACGAAACCGUGUGUGUGGAUUAAAAUUCUAUACUCAGUGGUACUUUAGAGGUACACUCUAGGCACCAUAACCACUUCAUCUAAUUGAAUGGUUAAGGUGCCAGGAGUCCAAUGUUACCCUUCCAAUGUUAAGUGAUAAACAGUUAAACAGAGAAUGAAGGUCCCUGUCUGCCAUUGGGUCUUCCCUCACCCCCACUGAACGUGUAAUGCAACAUUUGCGAUACCAAACCAAAACAGCAGAGGGGGGCAAUGCAGCAAUCACCACUGCAUUCAAAAUGGGUUUAACACUAAACAGUGGUACAACACCAAGGGUGUCUAGGCACCAUAACUACUUUAAUAAGAGGAAGUGAUUAUGGUACCUAGAGUGUUUCUCUGAAAACAGCCAGGGAUUUUACCAAAAUAGUCAAGUAAGCCAUCUUCAUGUGAGAUAGUAAUACUGAACAUUUGUUUCUUAGAAUUUUGUAAUAAACAUAUGUGUAACAGCUGUAAAUAUUUAAAGCUUUGGCGCUCUUCUGACCUAAUUAAGAGUCGAAAUGUUUUACUGUUUGAAGCGCUCUGUUAAUUUGUUAACGUUCUUGUGGGAACCAAAAUCUGUGUGGUUUUUGUGUGUGAACAAAGCAGGGGCAUGUCCCCUCCCACAGGCUAGCAGAGGAUUUUGAGAUUUUUAUUUUACCCCAAACUCAGCACGCAGUUUGACACCGGCAGAAUUAAGCAUAUUGAGAAGUCCUGAUCACUGUACUCUGCCUGGUGGAACAUGGCGUCCGUAUAACUUUCCAGAGCUGGAAAUGGCCUUUGAGACCUGAAUUCAUAAGAUAUAAACUUUCAUACAAUAUAAGAUUGUGGAUUCCAGUCCAUUUACUGUUACAUUUGUAAAUUAGCAAAGGACAAAAUGGUAAUAAUAAGAUGUGGUGGACCACGGAGCCUAUUCACUUGCCCAUUUAGACAAUCAAGUGUCUCCGAUAGAAUCACACAAGCAUUAUAAACAUUCAAAGAUUUGGAUGACUUUCCAUACUGCUAAGAACGUACAUAAUACGCGCUAUCCCAGAACUAACUGUCGUAGCCUCAAUGAUAGCAUUGGAGAGAAAAUAUAUAUUUUUAAAUCGCAUUCAAGAUUUAAUUAGAUUUACAAACUCAGUUAAAGACAAAACUUGAAUUUGUAUUGGCCUGGUCGCGAUGCAGGAGGAGUGCAUUGUGUUUCCUAUGCCAGGGGUAGUUUAACAAUCCACGAAUAGCAGCCAAGCCUUGAGCUAUGUCUGCCCUCUAGUCAUCUUAAGAAUGGUCCAGAACAGUAAGAGGACUAUGGCACAAUAUCCUCAAAUCAGAGACCCAGGCUCAAACACAAUGAAACUUGUUGAGUAGCUGGACUGGGCAGCUAUUGGAAGAAGGGUGGUAAUGCCAGCCAGAUCAGAAAAUGGAUAACGGGAAUAAAUAUUGUAAGAUUAUGGGGAAUGAACAUUCAAUGCAACUUUCCACCACGGUAAAAUGUUCGGAAAAUCGUUUGCGGUGGGAUGUUGGUCCAUUUCCUUUGUACAUACAGCUCUUUGAGGGAGAUCUGUUAAGGCAAACUGGGGCUAUUCUAGACACAAAUUGGCAAAUGUUAUGGAACAUUCUAUUGUUUUCCACUUAUUUUUGCAGUAACAGAUCGGCCCCAGACUACUUCUGUGAUACUCGGUGCUUGGAAGGAUGAUACGCAGUGCUGGUCGACUGUGGACAUAACACAGCUCUACAAUGGGUGAACGAGAGAGGCAAGUCAAUUCAGGGGGGUAACUAGAGGGAACUAAUCUCUUUAAACUUCCUAUUUCUAAAGGGUAAUCCUGAUGUGAACUCCUUGUUCACUAUGCCUACAAGAGCAUCUUCUGAACCUCAUGUAUGAGAGAUAUAGAUUGAAUAGGGAUGAUAUAUGAUGCAUACAGUGGAGACCUGCCUGGGCAGUUUGGGAUUUGGAUAAGUGCGAACAAAUUAAAUGAUUAAUUUAGGAUUCCUCCUGUAACAGCACAAGUGAGCUAAAUUUAAGAGAGCUCCUGAGUGAGAACCAAUGAUAGGGCAAACGAUUAAAUGGUUAAUCCAACAUCCAUGACCUCAUCUGCUUUUUGAAGUGGUUGUAGUGGUAGGAGUCCGACUGGGCAGUGUUUCUACGUGAA
rnacentral:lncRNA from 1 species